UACGUAGGGGGCUAGCGUUGUCCGGAUUUAUUGGGCGUAAAGCGCGCGCAGGCGGUUUCUUAAGUCUGAUGUGAAAUCUCGCGGCUCAACCGUGAGCGGUCAUUGGAAACUGGGAAACUUGAGUGCAGAAGAGAAGAGCGGAAUUCCACGUGUAGCGGUGAAAUGCGUAGAGAUGUGGAGGAACACCAGUGGCGAAGGCGGCUCUUUGGUCUGUAACUGACGCUGAGGCGCGAAAGCGUGGGGAGCGAACAGG
rnacentral:rRNA from 1 species